rnacentral:rRNA from 1 species
GGUGAACGCUGGCGGUAGGCCUAACACAUGCAAGUCGAACGGCAGCACAGUAAGAGCUUGCUCUUACGGGUGGCGAGUGGCGGACGGGUGAGGAAUACAUCGGAAUCUACUUUUUCGUGGGGGAUAACGUAGGGAAACUUACGCUAAUACCGCAUACGACCUACGGGCGAAAGCAGGGGAUCUUCGGACCUUGCGCGAUUGAAUGAGCCGAUGUCGGAUUAGCUAGUUGGCGGGGUAAAGGCCCACCAAGGCGACGAUCCGUAGCUGGUCUGAGAGGAUGAUCAGCCACACUGGAACUGAGACACGGUCCAGACUCCUACGGGAGGCAGCAGUGGGGAAUAUUGGACAGUGGGCGCAAGCCUGAUCCAGCCAUACCGCGUGGGUGAAGAAGGCCUUCGGGUUGUAAAGCCCUUUUGUUGGGAAAGAAAAGCAGCAGGUUAAUACCCCGCUGUUCUGACGGUACCCAAAGAAUAAGCACCGGCUAACUUCGU